GACGAACCGUGCGAACGUUAUUCGGAAUCACUGGGCUUAAAGGGCGCGUAGGCGGGCUCGAAAGUCAGGGGUGAAAUCCUCCAGCUCAACUGGAGAAGUGCCUCUGAUACUGCGAGUCUCGAGGGAGGUAGGGGCGUGCGGAACUUCCGGUGGAGCGGUGAAAUGCGUAGAUAUCGGAAGGAACACCGGUGGCGAAAGCGGCGCGCUGGACCUCUUCUGACGCUGAGGCGCGAAAGCCAGGGGAGCAAACGGG
rnacentral:rRNA from 1 species